rnacentral:tRNA from 1 species
GAAAAAUUAGUUAAUUUAUAACAUUAAUGUGUCAAGUUAAAAUUAUUGAAUAUCAAUAUUUUUCU